ACGGGAGGCAGCAGUGGGGAAUAUUGGACAAUGGGCGAAAGCCUGAUCCAGCAACGCCGCGUGGGGGAUGACGGCCUUCGGGUUGUAAACCUCUUUCGGCAGGGACGAAGCGAAAGUGACGGUACCUGCAGAAGAAGGACCGGCCAACUACGUGCCAGCAGCCGCGGUAAUACGUAGGGUCCGAGCGUUGUCCGGAAUUAUUGGGCGUAAAGGGCUCGUAGGCGGUUUGUCGCGUCGGGAGUGAAAACUCAGGGCUCUACCCUGAGCGUGCUUCCGAUACGGGCAAACUAGAGGUAUGCAGGGGAGAACGGAAUUCCUGGUGUAGCGGUGGAAUGCGCAGAUAUCAGGAGGAACACCGGUGGCGAAGGCGGUUCUCUGGGCAUUACCUGACGCUGAGGAGCGAAAGCAUGGGGAGCGAACAGGAUUAGAUACCCUGGUA
rnacentral:rRNA from 1 species